GCCUUGAUGGUCUAGUAGCAUGAUACUCCCUUCGGGUAACGCCCGGUCCAUUGUGGGACUUCUUUGGGAGUGGUCCUGGGUUCAAUUCCCAGUCAAGGCC